rnacentral:rRNA from 1 species
UAGGGAAUAUUGCGCAAUAGACGCAAGUCUGACGCAGCAACGCCGCGUGGGUGAUGAAGCAUCUUGGUGUGUAAAACCCUGUCAGUGGGGAAGAAACGUGCAAGGAGUAACUGCCUUGCACCUGACGGUACCCACAGAGGAAGCACCGGCUAACUCCGUGCCAGCAGCCGCGGUAAUACGGGGGGUGCAAGCGUUGUUCGGAUUUACUGGGCGUAAAGGGCGCGUAGGCGGACCUCAUAGUCGGAUGUGAAAACUGGUGGCUCAACCGCCAGCCUGCAUUCGAUACUGGAGGUCUUGAGUACAGCAGGGGAAAGCGGAAUUCCAGGUGUAGCGGUGAAAUGCGUAGAUAUCUGGAAGAACACCAGUAGCGAAGGCGGCUUUCUGGGCUGAUACUGACGCUGAAGCGCGAAGGCCAGGGGAGCAAACA